rnacentral:rRNA from 1 species
UACGUAGGUGGCAAGCGUUACUCGGAAUCACUAGGCGUAAAGCGCAGGUAGGUGGCUAGAUAAGUUUCUUGUGAAAGCUCCCGGCUUAACUGGGAGAGGCCAAGGAAUACUGUUUGGCUUGAGUAUGGUAGGGGUAACUGGAAUUCCCGGUGUAGCGGUGAAAUGCGUUAGAUAUCGGGAGGAAUACCUAUGGCGAAGGCAGGUUACUGGGCCAUUACUGACACUGAGCUGCGAAAGCUAGGGGAGCAAACAGG